rnacentral:rRNA from 1 species
ACGGGAGGCAGCAGUGGGGAAUAUUGCACAAUGGGGGAAACCCUGAUGCAGCAACGCCGCGUGAGUGAUGAAGGUCUUCGGAUUGUAAAACUCUGUCCUUAGGGACGAAACAAAUGACGGUACCUAAGGAGGAAGCCCCGGCUAACUACGUGCCAGCAGCCGCGGUAAUACGUAGGGGGCGAGCGUUAUCCGGAAUUAUUGGGCGUAAAGAGUGCGUAGGUGGUUUUGUAAGCGUGAGGUGAAAGCCCGGGGCUCAACUCCGGUAAGCCUUUCGAACUGCCAGACUUGAGUGCAGGAGGGGAAAGUGGAAUUCCUAGUGUAGCGGUGAAAUGCGUAGAUAUUAGGAGGAACACCGGUGGCGAAGGCGACUUUCUGGACUGUAACUGACACUGAGGUACGAAAGCGUGGGGAGCAAACAGGAUUAGAUACCCUGGUA